AACGAACGCUGGCGGCAUGCCUAACACAUGCAAGUCGAACGGGAUCCAUCCUUCGGGGUGGUGAGAGUGGCGGACGGGUGAGUAACGCGUGGGAACCUGCCCAGUGGUGGGGGAUAACUGCGGGAAACUGCAGCUAAUACCGCAUGAGCCCGAGAGGGGAAAGAUUUAUCGCCAUUGGAGGGGCCCGCGUUCGAUUAGGUAGUUGGUGGGGUAAUGGCCUACCAAGCCGACGAUCGAUAGCUGGUCUGAGAGGAUGAUCAGCCACACUGGGACUGAGAUACGGCCCAGACUCCUACGGGAGGCAGCAGUGGGGAAUAUUGGACAAUGGGGGCAACCCUGAUCCAGCAAUGCCGCGUGAGUGAUGAAGGCCUUAGGGUUGUAAAGCUCUUUUGCCAGGGACGAUGAUGACGGUACCUGGAGAAUAAGCCCCGGCUAACUUCGUGCCAGCAGCCGCGGUAAUACGAAGGGGGCAAGCGUUGUUCGGAAUUACUGGGCGUAAAGGGCGC
rnacentral:rRNA from 1 species